GGGUAAGUCUUAUACGACCAGCUCCUAUGAACCUCCCCAGGGCCGGAAGGCAGCAAGGAUAAGUGGUUGAGCGGUGCGAUGUAAGUAGCUUACCCAUU
rnacentral:SRP_RNA from 1 species